UAGGGAAUCUUCCACAAUGGACGCAAGUCUGAUGGAGCAACGCCGCGUGAGUGGAGAAGGCUUUCGGGUCGUAAAACUCUGUUGUUGGAGAAGAAUGGUCGGCAGAGUAACUGUUGUCGGCGUGACGGUAUCCAACCAGAAAGCCACGGCUAACUACGUGCCAGCAGCCGCGGUAAUACGUAGGUGGCAAGCGUUAUCCGGAUUUAUUGGGCGUAAAGCGAGCGCAGGCGGUUUUUUAAGUCUGAUGUGAAAGCCCUCGGCUUAACCGAGGAAGCGCAUCGGAAACUGGGAAACUUGAGUGCAGAAGAGGACAGUGGAACUCCAUGUGUAGCGGUGAAAUGCGUAGAUAUAUGGAAGAACACCAGUGGCGAAGGCGGCUGUCUGGUCUGUAACUGACGCUGAGGCUCGAAAGCAUGGGUAGCGAACAGGAUUAGAUACCCUGGUAGUCCAUGCCGUAA
rnacentral:rRNA from 1 species